GCCGAGCUAAGUAACAUGAGCUUGUGACCCAUGUGGGGGCAAUAAUGUGAUGGAACAUGAUCGUGGCCUUCUGGGUCGGGUCUGUGGUUGGCUGAAUGCUGGCUCGCCCUAUCCAAGUUGGGAGUUGGCUCAUGUGGCUUGGGCGAAGGUCCAAGUUUCAUGGGCCCUAAAGUGGAGGGUACUGCGUGAGGCUGGUUUCACAGAGCAACGAAUACCUCCCACUCUUGUCAGUGGAAGGAGAACGGGCUAGUGCCUCCUUGGCCCAUUAGUACCUAGUUGGCUGAUAUCUUAAAUGGACCAUCACUUUU
rfam:Beta vulgaris subsp. vulgaris chromosome 5, whole genome shotgun sequence.